CUGGUGCUGGUGCUGGUGCUGGUGCUGCAGCAACUUGAGCAGCUUGACUGCAGCUGACCUUCCUCUUUGACUGAGACCUCCCUUUCUUUCCAUUCCCAUUGCUCAGGCUGGGGCUAAGGUUCUUCAGCUUAUCCUUCAAAUUCUCCACCUCCAAUUCCCUUGACUUCACCUCCCUCUUCAGCUCCUCCACCGCAGCCUCAUACGGCGCCACCACCUCCCUC
rnacentral:misc_RNA from 1 species